ensembl:lncRNA
GUCCAAUCAACAUCUUUAUGACAGUCCUUCUGGACUGUUUGACCUAAUACCUACAAGCUGGUCAUGAGACAGUCAGGGGAUUGGAAAUGUAUCACUUGACUGGGUUUUCAGAUUGAUAAAAAAAAGAGUCAUUCGAGAGUAUGGAAUAGAGUUUCUGUGCUAUACACAGUAAGUCUUUUUUUUAAUAUACAAAACAGAUAACUCCUGCUCUUUUAACGGCUGGACAAGUCAUUGCAACUUUCCAUUACCAAGAUGCUCCUGAUGGGGGCAAUAUUGAACCUGGUCAGGGGAUGAUUUUCCUCUUCCUGGCUGCGGCUUCCCUGUGCAUGACACCAUGGUCUUCGUAGACAGGACUUCACUGUCCUUAAAAGGAAAAAGGCCAGCACACUUGCAAGUUGGAUUGAGUCAGUGAAGUAACCCUUGAGAAGCACUAGCUUACACACCAAAAGGCCAAGUGAGCACACAGCCAGGAGGCAGACCCCUACAACCUAAAGAAGAGACCUCAGAAAGAAACCUACCAUGACAGCACCUCGAUCUUGAGCCUUCCAGCCUCCAGAUUUGUGGGAAAUAAAUCUCUGUUGUGU